rnacentral:rRNA from 1 species
UACGUAGGGGGGCAAGCGUUGUCCGGAAUCAUUGGGCGUAAAGAGCGUGUAGGCGGUCCGGUCAGUCGGUUGUGAAAGUCAAGGGCUCAACCCUUGAAUGCCGGCCGAUACUGCCGGGCUAGAGUCCGGAAGAGGUGAGUGGAAUUCCUGGUGUAGCGGUGAAAUGCGCAGAUAUCAGGAGGAACACCGAUGGCGAAGGCAGCUCACUGGGCCGAUACUGACGCUGAGGAGCGAAAGCGUGGGGGAGCGAACAGG